UACGUAGGGUGCAGGCGUUAAUCGGAAUUACUGGGCGUAAAGCGUGCGCAGGCGGUGAUGUAAGACAGUUGUGAAAUCCCCGGGCUCAACCUGGGAACUGCAUCUGUGACUGCAUCGCUGGAGUACGGUAGAGGGGGAUGGAAUUCCGCGUGUAGCAGUGAAUGCGUAGAUAUGCGGAGGAACACCGAUGGCGAAGGCAAUCCCCUGGACCUGUACUGACGCUCAUGCACGAAAGCGUGGGGAGCAAACAGG
rnacentral:rRNA from 1 species